rnacentral:rRNA from 1 species
GAGCGGGGAAGGGUAGCUUGCUACCUAACCUAGCGGCGGACGGGUGAGUAAUGCUUAGGAAUCUGCCUAUCAGUGGGGGACAACAUUCCGAAAGGAAUGCUAAUACCGCAUACGCCCUACGGGGGAAAGCAGGGGAUCUUCGGACCUUGCGCUAAUAGAUGAGCCUAAGUCAGAUUAGCUAGUUGGUGGGGUAAAGGCCUACCAAGGCGACGAUCUGUAGCGGGUCUGAGAGGAUGAUCCGCCACACUGGGACUGAGACACGGCCCAGACUCCUACGGGAGGCAGCAGUGGGGAAUAUUGGACAAUGGGCGCAAGCCUGAUCCAGCCAUGCCGCGUGUGUGAGGAAGGCCUUUUGGUUGUAAAGCACUUUAAGCGAGGAGGAGGCUACCGAGAUUAAUACUCUAGGAUAGUGGACGUUACUCGCAGAAUAAGCACCGGCUAACUCUGUGCCAGCAGCCGCGGUAAUACAGAGGGUGCGAGCGUUAAUCGGAUUUACUGGGCGUAAAGCGUGCGUAGGCGGCUUUUUAAGUCGGAUGUGAAAUCCCUGAGCUUAACUUAGGAAUUGCAUUCGAUACUGGGAAGCUAGAGUAUGGGAGAGGAUGGUAGAAUCCAGGUGUAGCGGUGAAAUGCGUAGAGAUCUGGAGGAAUACCGAUGGCGAAGGCAGCCAUCUGGCCUAAUACUGACGCUGAGGUACGAAAGCAUGGGGAGCAAACAGGAUUAGAUACCCUGGU